UACGUAGGGUGCAAGCGUUAAUCGGAAUUACUGGGCGUAAAGCGUGCGCAGGCGGCUUUGCAAGACAGAUGUGAAAUCCCCGGGCUUAACCUGGGAACUGCAUUUGUGACUGCAUGGCUUGAGUGCGGGAGAGGAUGGUGGAAUUCCCAGUGUAGAGGUGAAAUUCGUAGAUAUUGGGAAGAACACCCGUGGCGAAGGCGGCUCUCUGGGACGGUACUGGACGCUGAGACGCGAAAGCGUGGGGAGCGAACAGG
rnacentral:rRNA from 1 species